AAAUAGUAACAUUUACUAUACUCAAGGAAAGAAAUGUGUAAGCCAAGAGUUUUAUAUUCUGCCAAAUGAACUGUCAAGCAUGAAUGCUGUAGAUACUCUUAUGAAUGAGUAAGAACUCAGCAGUUAUUGUUUCCAACAUCGUUCCUGAGAAAUCUCAGACAACUGAAGGGAUUGGGGAGUACAGACUCCGUAUUGGUCUAAUGUCAUCUCUAUGAGGAUGGGCCACAUUAUCCUCCCCCAUGCCCAUAGUCCUGAAUAGAGACAAAUCAAUUUUGGUAAAUGCUGGCAAAGUUUAAAAACACUCCUUUGAGAGGUAAGAAGUUGAUCUUGGAAAAUAUUUAAUGUUGAUUCCUCAGGUUCUUUACUUGGUUCCAUUCACAGAAACUUCUAUGGAGAGUUGUUGCAAGGAUCAGCCUGGACUGACGUCGUUGCCGCGUUGGCUUCUGGAUCACACAGUACAGUAGCUUGUCCAGCCAUUGCUGGCUUGUAGCCAGUUUGGUUAAGGAUCCUUGACUUCUGCAUUGAGGGACAGGGGGCAAAGGGGAGGAGCAGUCACAUAUCUUGAUUUGGGGAGAAUGGCACCUUAUUUAUCUCAAAGGAUGACAUGGACUAGAGCUAACGAUUGCUGUAUAACAAACAGCUAUUAAACUUCAAGGGCACAUAACAAUGAAUACCCAAGGCACUCAGCUUGUGCUCCAGAUCUUCUGGUCUGCUGCGUGUAUCUCUUCAACUCUUUGACUCAGCAGACUCCCAGCACAUGUCCUUGCUGUGGCAGUGUGAGUAGUGCAAGAAGGCAAGCAAAACAUGCAAGGCUUCUUAAGAUCUAGACAUGGAGCUGGCCCGUUGACACUUCCAACAUCCCAUUCCAUUGGCCAAAUAAGAAAAGCAUGGAGAACCACAAGGAAAAUGUAUGACCAUAAGUUAACAGCAGAGGUCAUCCCAGUGAAUGGGAUACCCAUGGCCAAGGUGACAAGAUGCCUCCUGUGUCCGUUGAUGACUUUGUGAACUUGGACAACAGAUUGACUCCUUUCUGACUCUGUCUCUAUAGCUAUGAACUGUGAAAGUGAGAGGAUGGCUCUUUUCCAACUGGGAUAUAAAUUUGAUUUGGAUUUUCAUAUUUUGCCAUAUGGUUCUCAAUUGGCAUUGUUUAAUCUGCUGUGGCGGCAAGCAUACUGUGCUAAAACAAGACAUAUGGAGCUCUUUUGCAGUAAAGGAAGAAAGAACAGAAGCAGAUGUCUGAACCAUUUAGACUCAUUACAGUGAAGACUCUCCUGGAGAAGUGUGAUUCUCAUGAUGAGUGAAUCCAGCUGCACGUGGGAUCGGACCCGCAGACCUGCCAGCCCAGUGAGUCGCCAUCAUGAAGGGUCCAAGUUUAGCGUACUCACAGAGUGACAAAAGACAGGGACUCCCGCUGGGCUAAAGAGGACUCAUCUCAAACUCCAAGCCACCCCACAUCCUAACUUCACCUUUUGGGCCCAUCUACAUUACCGUCACAUUGAGCUCUUUCCACGUCCCCACGUGAAAAACAGAGACAGUAGUAAGUAUUCACCACCUUCUUCUAGAGAUUUAUCCUUUGGCAAAACCAACCCAGUAAGUAUUAAAAAUCUGGGUGUGGGCAUGUGUAUUCAUAUUAAUAUUUUUACAUUUUUCUUCAUGUGUUUGACAUUUCAUAAUUUUAAAAAAGCUUUAAAAAUGAUUCAGUUCUUAAAACUACAAGAAAAUCAAAUUUUAGUGUCUAUAAAUAAGGUUUUGUUGGAGUUCAGCCAUUCUCAUUUGUUUAUAUAUUAUCAAUUACUGUUUUUUGCAUUACCACAGCAGGGAUGAAUUGUUCUUCCAGAGAA